AUCACCUGAAGAUCUUGUUAAAAUGCAGGUUCUGGUGCAGUAGGUCUAGGUGGGACCUGAGAUUCUGCAUUUCUAACAAGUUCCCAGGUAGUGCCAA
rnacentral:pre_miRNA from 1 species